CCCCCCCUAAAACGAAAUAUGAAAUGACCUCUUCCCCUAUCGUUAAAGCGUGAGAUACAUUUUUAAAACCAGUGAUUUAAUUCAAAAUAUUUAGUACCUACAUUUUAACACAUGUUAUAAUUCCAAAAUGUUUACUAUUUCUUACAGAUAAAGGGUCCUGUUAGCCCCGACCUGUAACUGACAGUUAGACUUACAGGUUAUGUCGUUGUCUUUUGUUUGUAUUGUUUAUGUGUCCGCUGUGCGGGGAAAAUGAUAAUACAAGCGGAACUACGUAGCUAAUACUGUUGUAACUGGGGAUCCUUAUUGUAGCAACACACUUUUGUAGGGAAGGCAAUCCUGCGCUGCGUUAGCUAAGUUUUCAUGUCAUCGGGUGUAGUUCAUAAAGGUUGAAGAGUGUAUGUUAGGAUGAAGUGUGAAUUCAUGCCAGGAAUAAUAAGUGUGAAGUUUGAUUUCCUCCCUUCUGUAAUAAGCAGCCAAUGAGUUCUCACUGAAGGGGAUAAUUCUCACUGAAACUACAGAAUAAAGCCGCCAGUUAAAAUCAUGGAACGGUUGUGCUCGUGGUUACUGAAGGGAGCUACAAGACCAUUAUUCGUUUCGAAUUCACCAACUCAAAGACGCUUGCCCGCUCCAUCAUAACUCCGUAAGUUUUCCCUCCCUGUGUAGAUCAAACGUCCUGCCUGUAAAUCCUGGGUAUGCCCACAUCAUUAAUGAAUAAGAUGUGUAGAAAACUGUUUAGCCAUAGUUAAAGGCCUUUCAUAAAGAGGCUGUCAUGAUUGCCUGUGCCUCAUGUUUAACACGUAUUGCUUGUUACCGAAUACUACUGUUGUACAUUUAAUAUCUACUAGCCGAUUUCGUCGCAUUUGCACAAAUUCUGUCAUGUUACUGUGGUCUUUUUAAAAGUCAAUAAAUAUGUGUGUAGAGUGUACAUGUUUGUUUCACUGUAGAUCUGUUUAAGACCUCCUAGAAACACCUAAUUUCAUCCCACAGCAUUAAUUAAUAAGCUGUGUAGAAGCUGUUUAGCCAUAAGUAAAGGCCUUUCAUAAAGCAGCUGUCAUGAUUGCAUGUCCCUUAUGUUUAACACGUAUUGCUUGUUACAGAAUACUACUGUUGUACAUUUAAUAUCACCUAGCAGAUUUCGUUGCCUUUGCACAAAUUCUGUCAUGUUACUGUGGUCUUUUUAAAAGUCAAUAAAAAUGUGUGUAAAGUGUCCAUGUUUGUUUCACUGUAUAUUUGUUUAAGCCCUCCUAGAAACACCUAAUUAAAGGCCUUUCAUAAAGAGGCAGUCAUGAUUGCAUGUGCCUCAUGUUUAACACGUAUUGCUUGUUACAGAAUACUACUGUUGUACAUUUAAUAUCCCCUAGCAGAUUUCGUUGCCUUUGCACAAAUUCUGUCAUGUUACUGUGGUCUUUUUAAAAGUCAAUAAAUAUGUGUGUAAAGUGUA